GGUGAGAUGGCCGAGCGGUCUAAGGCGCCACGUUAAGGUCUUCCUUAAUCAACAUCCUCUCAGAUUCCGUGGUCCGAAAGGGCGUGGGUUCGAAUCCCACUCUCAUCA
rnacentral:tRNA from 1 species